GACGUAGGGCGCUAGCGUUGUCCGGAAUCAUUGGGCGUAAAGCGCGCGUAGGCGGCCCGGUGAGUCCGCUGUGAAAGUCAAAGGCUCAACCUUUGAAUGUCAGCGGAUACUGCCGGGCUAGAGUCCGGAAGAGGAGAGUGGAACUCCUGGUGUAGCGGUGGAAUGCGCAGAUAUCAGGAAGAACACCAGCGGCGAAGGCAGCUCGCUGGGACGGAACUGACGCUAAGGCGCGAAAGCGUGGGGAGCGAACAAG
rnacentral:rRNA from 1 species